UAAGCGACUAAGCGUACACGGUGGAUGCCCUGGCAGUCAGAGGCGAUGAAGGACGUGCUAAUCUGCGAUAAGCGUCGGUAAGGUGAUAUGAACCGUUAUAACCGGCGAUUUCCGAAUGGGGAAACCCAGUGUGAUUCGUCACACUAUCAUUAACUGAAUCCAUAGGUUAAUGAGGCGAACCGGGGGAACUGAAACAUCUAAGUACCCCGAGGAAAAGAAAUCAACCGAGAUUCCCCCAGUAGCGGCGAGCGAACGGGGAGGAGCCCAGAGCCUGAAUCAGUGUGUGUGUUAGUGGAAGCGUCUGGAAAGGCGUGCGAUACAGGGUGACAGCCCCGUACACAAAAAUGCACAUACUGUGAGCUCGAUGAGUAGGGCGGGACACGUGGUAUCCUGUCUGAAUAUGGGGGGACCAUCCUCCAAGGCUAAAUACUCCUGACUGACCGAUAGUGAACCAGUACCGUGAGGGAAAGGCGAAAAGAACCCCGGCGAGGGGAGUGAAAAAGAACCUGAAACCGUGUACGUACAAGCAGUGGGAGCCUCUUAAUGGGGUGACUGCGUACCUUUUGUAUAAUGGGUCAGCGACUUAUAUUCUGUAGCAAGGUUAACCGAAUAGGGGAGCCGAAGGGAAACCGAGUCUUAACUGGGCGUUAAGUUGCAGGGUAUAGACCCGAAACCCGGUGAUCUAGCCAUGGGCAGGUUGAAGGUUGGGUAACACUAACUGGAGGACCGAACCGACUAAUGUUGAAAAAUUAGCGGAUGACUUGUGGCUGGGGGUGAAAGGCCAAUCAAACCGGGAGAUAGCUGGUUCUCCCCGAAAGCUAUUUAGGUAGCGCCUCGUGAAUUCAUCUCCGGGGGUAGAGCACUGUUUCGGCAAGGGGGUCAUCCCGACUUACCAACCCGAUGCAAACUGCGAAUACCGGAGAAUGUUAUCACGGGAGACACACGGCGGGUGCUAACGUCCGUCGUGAAGAGGGAAACAACCCAGACCGCCAGCUAAGGUCCCAAAGUCAUGGUUAAGUGGGAAACGAUGUGGGAAGGCCCAGACAGCCAGGAUGUUGGCUUAGAAGCAGCCAUCAUUUAAAGAAAGCGUAAUAGCUCACUGGUCGAGUCGGCCUGCGCGGAAGAUGUAACGGGGCUAAACCAUGCACCGAAGCUGCGGCAGCGACACUAUGU
rnacentral:rRNA from 1 species